ACAAAGCAAGACUCCAUUUAAAAAAAGAUAGUAUUCCUAAGGACUGAGAGGGGAAACUGAGGCAUGCAGACUGGAGUUGGGGUGGGGCUUGGCGAGAGAAUGAGUUCAAGUAACCUGUGAAGGACUCUCAGAAAGUCACAGCAACUUAAAAAUCAUUUAUUCUACCCCCCACUUCCACAUUUUCCAGAAAUAGAAACCAAAGCUGAGAGGGGAGAGAUAACUAUCCAAAAGCACCACGUCGGUGGGAAGUAGGGUUCCCAGAGAAAACACAGGACAUCCAGUGAAGUCAGGUGCCUCCUGACCUAGCAGACCCCCCUGAGCCCAGAUCCCUGGGACCUGGUGGCUGCCUUUAUCACAUUCCUUGACUCCGCAUCUUAGGACCCAAGUCUGACCCCCUUCAGGAUCUGCAGCUGUGUUACAGGAAAGGGGACCCGAUCUAGACCCCAAGGGAGGGUUCUUGGAUCUCGUGCAAGAAACAAUUCAGGAUGGAGUUGCUGUGGUUCACACACCUCUGGCAGCUGGGUUCCUUGGGAAUCUGACAUUCUGUGCCCUCUGUCCCCUCUGCCCUCACUGCCAUUGCUGUCUUCCUGAGCCUCCUCCCUCUGAAUUUCUUCAUCACCAAGAAGAGGAAUCACUGUUAGGUUUGGCUUUUGGGAAAGGGAUGGAGCAGGCAGGCAGUAGGGAGGGAGACACAGGCCCUGGUGUGAGCGAUGGGCAGGGGAGAGCUGAGUG